GACGAACGCUGGCGGCGUGCUUAACACAUGCAAGUCGAACGGAAAGGCCCUGCUUUUGUGGGGUGCUCGAGUGGCGAACGGGUGAGUAACACGUGAGUAACCUGCCCUUGACUUUGGGAUAACUUCAGGAAACUGGGGCUAAUACCGGAUAGGAGCUCCUGCUGCAUGGUGGGGGUUGGAAAGUUUCGGCGGUUGGGGAUGGACUCGCGGCUUAUCAGCUUGUUGGUGGGGUAGUGGCUUACCAAGGCUUUGACGGGUAGCCGGCCUGAGAGGGUGACCGGCCACAUUGGGACUGAGAUACGGCCCAGACUCCUACGGGAGGCAGCAGUGGGGAAUAUUGCACAAUGGGCGGAAGCCGGAUGCAGCAACGCCGCGUGCGGGAUGACGGCCUUCGGGUUGUAAACCGCUUUCGCCUGUGACGAAGCGUGAGUGACGGUAACGGGUAAAGAAGCACCGGCUAACUACGUG
rnacentral:rRNA from 1 species